CCUACGGGUGGCAGCAGUGGGGAAUAUUGCACAAUGGGGGAAACCCUGAUGCAGCGACGCCGCGUGAGUGAAGAAGUAUCUCGGUACGUAAAGCUCUAUCAGCAGGGAAGAAAAUGACGGUACCUGACUAAGAAGCCCCGGCUAACUACGUGCCAGCAGCCGCGGUAAUACGUAGGGGGCAAGCGUUAUCCGGAUUUACUGGGUGUAAAGGGAGCGUAGACGGCAGCACAAGUCUGGAGUGAAAUCCCGGGGCUCAACCCCGUCGUGCCGUUGAAACUGAUGUUCUUGAGUGGGCGAGAAGUAUGCGGAAUGCGUGGUGUAGCGGUGAAAUGCAUAGAUAUCACGCAGAACUCCGAUUGCGAAGGCAGCAUACCGGCGCCCAACUGACGCUGAAGCACGAAAGCGUGGGUAUCGAACAGGAUUAGAUACCCCAGUAGUC
rnacentral:rRNA from 1 species